rnacentral:tRNA from 2 species
GGUCCCUUCGUCUAUCGGUUUAGGACGAGAGAUUCUCAAUCUCUAAAGACGGGUUCGACUCCCGUAGGGACCG